GACGAACGCUGGCGGCGUGCUUAACACAUGCAAGUCGAACGGAAAGGCCCUGCUUUUGUGGGGUGCUCGAGUGGCGAACGGGUGAGUAACACGUGAGUAACCUGCCCUUGACUUUGGGAUAACUUCAGGAAACUGGGGCUAAUACCGGAUAGGAGCUCCUGCUGCAUGGUGGGGGUUGGAAAGUUUCGGCGGUUGGGGAUGGACUCGCGGCUUAUCAGCUUGUUGGUGGGGUAGUGGCUUACCAAGGCUUUGACGGGUAGCCGGCCUGAGAGGGUUACCGGCCACAUUGGGACUGAGAGACGGCCCAGACGCCAACGGGAGGCAGCAGUGGGGAAUAUUGCACAAUGGGGGGAAGCCUGAUGCAGCAACGCCGCGUGCGGGAUGACGGCCUUCGGGUUGUAAACCGCUUUCGCCUGUGACGAAGCGUGAGUGACGGUAAUGGGUAAAGAAGCACCGGCUAACUACGUG
rnacentral:rRNA from 1 species